rfam:Pseudozyma hubeiensis SY62 DNA, scaffold: PHS42.
GGGGGUUUAGCUCAGUUGGUAGAGCGUUCGCUUAGCAUCUAGAGGUGUCUAACUUGCGAAAGGUCGCGUGUUCGACUCAUGCAGUCUCCA